rnacentral:lncRNA from 1 species
UAACACUGGAAUUAGGUCAGCCAGUGAAGCAAAUGCCAGCAUAUGAUAAACUGAGUAUUUUGUUCAGUCUUGCUUAAAUGAUUCCAGUUAACUGAGCUACAGCAAUCCAAUGACAUCGGAUGUCACCUGUUCCACAGCAAUAUAAAAGCCCCAGUCACCCAUGUGUUGGUUCAUGUCAUUCACCAGAACAGUCGCAGCAGGCGUGCACGGACAGGACGGUAAUCGAUAACUCAUCAGUGACUCUGCAGAAGCAUCCCGGAAAGGACGUGUUUCUGACGGCUCCAUAGCUCCAGGGGUGUGCAGGGAGGCUCCAAGGUGUGACAGCAUCAUUUAUUUCUGCAACGGAACAGAAGAAUGCGCUCAGCUGCGCUUCUCAGCAGCUCUGCAGCCUGUGGACAGUGUGGGCAGUUUUCUGUACGCAGCAUCCGGGAAAAUGUGCGUUCCCUUGAAGUGAUCUGCUAAAAAGCACGUACUUGUACAGUUGUUGUAGCCUGCCUUGUUGCACUGCUUUUACGGUCUGAAAUGCCUGGUCUUUAAUACUGCCUGGGAU